GGGCUAUUGGUCUAGGGGUAUGAUUUUCGCUUCGCAUCGUCCUCUUCUCUUGAAGUGGUUCGCAGCGCCUGUGAACGGUCACCGGUUCAAAUCCGGUAUAGUCCA